rnacentral:rRNA from 1 species
CCUACGGGCGGCAGCAGUGGGGAAUAUUGGACAAUGGGGGCAACCCUGAUCCAGCCAUGCCGCGUGUGUGAAGAAGGCCCUCGGGUUGUAAAGCACUUUCAGUGAGGAAGAACGCCUGGUGGUUAAUACCCAUCAGGAAAGACAUCACUCACAGAAGAAGCACCGGCUAACUCCGUGCCAGCAGCCGCGGUAAUACGGAGGGUGCGAGCGUUAAUCGGAAUUACUGGGCGUAAAGCGCGCGUAGGUGGCUUGAUAAGCCGGUUGUGAAAGCCCCGGGCUCAACCUGGGAACGGCAUCCGGAACUGUCAAGCUAGAGUGCAGGAGAGGAAGGUAGAACUCCCGGUGUAGCGGUGAAAUGCGUAGAGAUCGGGAGGAAUCCCAGUCGCGAAGGCGGCCUUCUGGACUGACACUGACACUGAGGUGCGAAAGCGUGGGUAGCACAGGAUUAGAUACCCUAGUAGUC